GACGAACGCUGGCGGCGUGCUUAACACAUGCAAGUCGAACGGAAAGGCCCUGCUUUUGUGGGGUGCUCGAGUGGCGAACGGGUGAGUAACACGUGAGUAACCUGCCCUUGACUUUGGGAUAACUUCAGGAAACUGGGGCUAAUACCGGAUAGGAGCUCCUGCUGCAUGGUGGGGGUUGGAAAGUUUCGGCGGUUGGGGAUGGACUCGCGGCUUAUCAGCUUGUUGGUGGGGUAGUGGCUUACCAAGGCUUUGACGGGUAGCCGGCCUGAGAGGGUGACCGGCCACAUUGGGACUGAGAUACGGCCCAGACUCCUACGGGAGGCAGCAGUGGGAAAUAUGGCACAAUGGGCGGAAGCCUGAUGCAGCAACGCCGCGUGCGGGAUGACGGCCUUCGGGUUGUAAACCGCUUUCGCCUGUGACGAAGCGUGAGUGACGGUAAUGGGUAAAGAAGCACCGGCUAACUACGUG
rnacentral:rRNA from 1 species